UUAUAUAUAUUUUAUUUUCAAACUCAAUUCCUUUCUCAUCCAGAACAACCCCAGGCUUCUCCCGUUUGCGCCGUUUUCCCACACAACAUCCGAAUCAUCUCCAUCCCCCGCUUCGCGCCUUUUUCAUUCUCGUUUGUUUUUUCUCUUCAUGCUCGCCGCCGCCAAUCUUCACACUCGGCAUAUCGUCUCGGAUGAUGAUGACAGACUCAGAUUGGCCUCCGCUGCCGCGGUUGACAAAGCGACGCCGGACCAGCGGGAGUGCCGAGAGCGGAACCGAAGAAUCUCAUCCUUCGAAUCGGCGGAUCCUGUCCAGAUGAUGAUGAUGAUGAUCCAUCCAAUCUUAGCCUUGGCAAUCGGAUAAAGCUCUUGUAAACAGUUACACCACCGGGCAUCCCCAUUUGCGCGCGGCGUGGAUGGGCGAAAUAAUGGAAUCCGAAAGACGACGGUGAGGUGGGAGCGAACGGAACGAAGCAAAAAUCGACAGCACAUAUCCUGGAAUGAAUCGAAAUUUGUCUUGGAAAUGAAACGGGCCUGACGAUGGUUCAGCAACGAUGGCGGCAUGGGCCCGAGAUGGCCCGGCCACAGAUAAAUCUGAUCCAGACAUGGAUAAGGACAGGAAAGCGAUGACUUGAAUCAGAGUGGCUGUGACUCGAGUGUGGAAUCUGGUGGUGCUGUUCACUGUGGGGAUGAUCUGAAUUGCUGGAGAUGAAUCAGGGGAAUCCAGAGCCACAGGAAGAGAGAGAUGUGAAAAAAAUCUGGUCGGAGAAAAAUUUGUCUAGUUUGCAAGGAAGGUGUUUGAUGGAAUGACGAAGCUGGACUCUGUUUCCAAGUAUACCCAUUCGAGAGAGAGAGAGAGAGAGAGAGAGAGAGAAUUAGCGAGCUUUAUCUGGCGGUGAGAGCAAGUUCGAGUUUGGGAGCGCAUGAUGUUGUUGAUUCUAAUAGGAAAAGCCACUGCCAGAGGCUUGGAUGCUGUGAUGUUGAGAGAAAGGCUGCGGAAAAGUUGUGAUGCAGAAACGCCAUUACAUAGUUAUGCCACCACGGCGAAAGAGAUGACUGUGAGAGAGGCUUUGAAUACUGCAUUUGACGACGAAAUAUCUGCAGAUCCUAGAGUCUUUCUAAUGGGUGAGGUGGUCGGAGAAUAACGAGGUUUUUUUUUUUUUUUUUUUUUGGGCAGAAGCAUGGACCUGAGAGGGUUGUUGAUACUGCAAUCACAGAGGCUGGUUUCGCUGGAGUUGAAGUCGGUGCUGCUUUCUAGGGUCUCGGGCCUGUUGUGGAGUUUAUGAAAUUCAAUUUCACUAUGCAGGCGAUUGACUUACGUUCUAAAUUCUGCUGAAUGAACUUCAUGUCGGCUGGCAAUACAUCAGUCCCUAUAGUUUCAAGAGGAGCUGCAGCAGGAGUCAGUGCCCAUCACUCCCAAGCCUCGUGAAGGCGUCGCCAUCCCACCUGGAGGAAGCUUUGCUGGAUCCGGCCUCAUUAGAUCACUUGUCACCCUCAGGAUCUAUCAAACCCGAGAAUGGCUCAUGGUGUGCGAAAUGAGAGUUGCUCAUAAAUGGUGUAGCAUCUCCGGGUAUGAAAUUGGUGAGCCCCGAAAGCUCACUCCUAGGCAACUUCUGCAUUGAUGAUAGGCCAUUUGCUGCAUUUGUUUUUGUAUACAUGUAUCUUAUGACGGCAGAUUAGCAUAAAGACUCGGAAAUACAAAUCAUGGAGAUCUGAGGUAGUGUCUUCGUGGAUUUUCGAUACAAAAUGUGGGGAAGAAAAAACACAUAGUUAUGUGGAGGUACCGAGUCACAGGUAGUGAUAAGCACAUAGUAUCGAGAAGCUAUUGCUGCAAAGAAUGCACGCCUUCGGGUGAUUAUCUUUGUUCAUCCAUUCAUGCAAACAUUUACUACACGCAAAUGAGUUUCUCUUUGAAAUGCACAUCAACCAGAAGAAAAGGACACAGACAGAGCCCCUCUUACGAGUCUAUGGCUCCCAAUGAACUUCAUUGUUGGAAUACCUAAGAGUUGCUCUUUGCUUCUCUUGAA